rnacentral:rRNA from 1 species
ACUCCUACGGGAGGCAGCAGUGGGGAAUCUUGGACAAUGGGCGCAAGCCUGAUCCAGCCAUGCCGCGUGAGUGAAGGAGGUCUUCGGAUUGUAAAGCUCUUUUGCCAGGGACGAUAAUGACGGUACCUGGAGAAUAAGCCCCGGCAAACUUCGUGCCAGCAGCCGCGGUAAU